GACGAACGCUGGCGGCGUGCUUAACACAUGCAAGUCGAACGAUGACGACCGAGCUUGCUCGGUCUGAUUAGUGGCGAACGGGUGAGUAACACGUGAGCAACCUGCCCUUCACUCUGGGAUAACCUCGGGAAAUCGGGGCUAAUACCGGAUAUGAGCUCCUGUCGCAUGGCGGGUGUUGGAAAGUUUUUCGGUGAAGGAUGGGCUCGCGGCCUAUCAGUUUGUUGGUGAGGUAGUGGCUCACCAAGGCGAUGACGGGUAGCCGGCCUGAGAGGGCGACCGGCCACACUGGGACUGAGACACGGCCCAGACUGCUACGGGAGGCAGCAGUGGGGAAUAUUGCACAAUGGAAGGAAGCCUGAUGCAGCGACGCCGCGUGAGGGAUGACGGCCUUCGGGUUGUAAACCUCUUUCAGCAGGGAAGAAGCGAAAGUGACGGUACCUGCAGAAGAAGCGCCGGCUAACUACGUG
rnacentral:rRNA from 1 species